rnacentral:pre_miRNA from 1 species
UUAACUCAAAUUUGUAUGAACUUGGAACGUUUGCCUACGUUUGCCGCUAGGGGCGCUGUUCAAACUGCAUACAAAUACGUUA